GGCUCAGAUUGAACGCUGGCGGCAGGCCUAACACAUGCAAGUCGAGCGGUAGAGAGGUGCUUGCAUCUCUUGAGAGCGGCGGACGGGUGAGUAAUGCCUAGGAAUCUGCCUAGUGGUGGGGGAUAACGUUCGGAAACGGACGCUAAUACCGCAUACGUCCUACGGGAGAAAGCGGGGGGAUCUUCGGACCUCGCGCCAUUAGAUGAGCCUAGGUCGGAUUAGCUAGUUGGCGAGGUAAUGGCUCACCAAGGCGACGAUCCGUAACUGGUCUGAGAGGAUGAUCAGUCACACUGGAACUGAGACACGGUCCAGACUCCUACGGGAGGCAGCAGUGGGGAAUAUUGGACAAUGGGCGAAAGCCUGAUCCAGCCAUGCCGCGUGUGUGAAGAAGGUCUUCGGAUUGUAAAGCACUUUAAGUUGGGAGGAAGGGUAGUAACCUAAUACGUUGCUACUUUGACGUUACCGACAGAAUAAGCACCGGCUAACUUCGUG
rnacentral:rRNA from 1 species